GCCCGGUUAGCUCAGUUGGUUAGAGCAUCAGACUUUUAAUCUGAGGGCCAUGGGUUUUCGAGUCCCAUAUCGGGCU
rnacentral:tRNA from 1 species